rnacentral:rRNA from 1 species
GCAAGUUGAGCGGUAAGGCCCCUUCGGGGGUACACGAGCAGCGAACGGGUGAGUAACGCGUGGGUAAUCUACCUAUGAGGUGGGGGAUAGCCUCGGGAAACCGGGGGUAAUACCGCAUGAGUCCCGACUGACAUAAGUCUAACGGGGGAAAGGCGGGGAUCUUCGGACCUGUCGCCUCUAGAUGAGCCCGCGUCCGAUUAGCUUGUUGGUGAGGUAAUGGCUCACCAAGGCAUCGAUCGGUAGCCGGCCUGAGAGGGUGAUC